GAUGAACGCUGGCGGCGUGCUUAACACAUGCAAGUCGAACGGAAAGGCUCCUGCUUGCAGGGGUACUCGAGUGGCGAACGGGUGAGUAACACGUGGGUGAUCUGCCCUGCACUUCGGGAUAAGCCUGGGAAACUGGGUCUAAUACCGGAUAGGACGAUGGUCUGGAUGCCAUUGUGUAAAGUUUUUUCGGUGUGGGAUGAGCUCGCGGCCUAUCAGCUUGUUGGUGGGGUAAUGGCCUACCAAGGCGUCGACGGGUAGCCGGCCUGAGAGGGUGUACGGCCACAUUGGGACUGAGAUACGGCCCAGACUCCUACGGGAGGCAGCAGUGGGGAAUAUUGCACAAUGGGCGCAAGCCUGAUGCAGCGACGCCGCGUGGGGGAUGACGGCCUUCGGGUUGUAAACUCCUUUCGCUAGGGACGAAGCGCAAGUGACGGUACCUGGAGAAGAAGCACCGGCUAACUACGUG
rnacentral:rRNA from 1 species